AUAUCAAUAAGCGGAGGAAAAGAAACUAACAAGGAUUCCCCUAGUAACUGCGAGUGAAGCGGGAAAAGCUCAAAUUUAAAAUCUGGUGGUCUUUGGCCAUCCGAGUUGUAAUCUAGAGAAGUGCUAUCCGCGUUGGACCGUGUACAAGUCUCCUGGAAUGGAGCGUCAUAGAGGGUGAGAAUCCCGUCUUUGACACGGACUACCAGUGCUUUGUGAUACGCUCUCAAAGAGUCGAGUUGUUUGGGAAUGCAGCUCAAAAUGGGUGGUAAAUUCCAUCUAAAGCUAAAUAUUGGCGAGAGACCGAUAGCGAACAAGUACCGUGAGGGAAAGAUGAAAAGAACUUUGGAAAGAGAGUUAAACAGUACGUGAAAUUGCUGAAAGGGAAACGCUUGAAGUCAGUCGCGUCGUCUGGGAAUCAACCUUACUUUUGUGGGGUGUACUUUCCUGAUGACGGGUCAGCAUCAAUUUUGACCGUUGGAUAAAGUGUAAGGGAAUGUGGCAUCUUCGGGUGUGUUAUAGCCYUUGCUCGCAUACAACGGUUGGGAUUGAGGAACUCAGUACGCCGCAAGGCCGGGAUUCGUCCACGUUCGUACUUAGGAUGCUGGCAUAAUGGCUUUAAUCGACCCGUCUUGAAACACGGACCAAGGAGUCUAACAUGCCUGCGAGUGUUUGGGUGGAAAACCCGAGCGCGUAAUGAAAGUGAAAGUUGAGAUCCCUGUCGUGGGGAGCAUCGACGCCCGGACCAGACCUUUUGUGACGGAUCUGCGGUAGAGCAUGUAUGUUGGGACCCGAAAGAUGGUGAACUAUGCCUGAAUAGGGUGAAGCCAGAGGAAACUCUGGUGGAGGCUCGUAGCGAUUCUGACGUGCAAAUCGAUCGUCAAAUUUGGGUAUAGGGGCGAAAGACUAAUCGAACCAUCUGGUAGCUGGUCCUG
rnacentral:rRNA from 1 species